rnacentral:lncRNA from 1 species
UUCAUUCUAAUUGAGCUGCAUUAGAUUCGUUUUCUUUCUCUUCAGUCUUUUCUGGACAGGCAAACCAUAGUAAGCUUACGCGUAGAUCUUUGAGAGGCUUCCACGAUUGUAUAGAAUUCUACUUUUGACCAUAACUUUAUUAAGUAGGAGGAGACGUAUGUGAUGUGUAUUGCAAGCUCGUAAGCAUGUGAUGGAGUGUUGGAUCAUUUAGUAUAGCUGAAUUAAGCAAGUAUUGCGGAAUUAAUAAAAGGCAUGUAUGUUUGUGGCAGCUUAAAUGCAGAAUUGACCUGUUAAUAGUUUCUUUCCUUUUCCAUUGACACCUUGUUCUCCUCUCCCUCACGAAAGCGGAAAAUGGAUCCAAAGCCACUUUGAAGACCGAGAUGCAUGCGUUUCUUGUCACUUUCGCAUCGAUUCCUUCCACUUCAUGGAUUUCCACCGUGUGGUUUCGCUUCUCUUCUCGCGUUUCUGCAAGCUCGGAUCAUGGAAAUAACACGUCUCCUGCCACCGGUAAGUGGAAGACAUACAUAGAUAGAUUUGGACGUACAUGCUGGAUCAGCUAUAACGCCGGCAUAAAGUGGGAGUGACAUAUUGAGAGCAUGUAAUGUUAUCGCAAGAAGAAAAAGGAAGAUCUCAGCCAUUUAGUAUUUACACGCAGAUAACAACAGCUGGGAUUCCGGCAGAGAGACAUCGGAUUUAGAGAGGAGAGACGCCGUAGAGAUGAGAAAGACUCUUGAGGACAUCAACCUGCAGCUCCAAGAAGGAUAUGUAUUCGGCUGUCCGCAUGAGCAACCCCUCGAUGCUGUCGUCUUGGCGACCAGGAAUGAUGCUUUCCAGCUUCCUGAGCUUUCCCUGCACUGAGUUCUGCGGGCUGUCUUCCUUCUCCCUGGGGGGCACAGUCCUUCUUCUUCUUCUUGUUGUUGUUGUCGUUGCUGCUCCCCCUGUAGAAGACGAAGGCUUCUUCAUUUCAAGUGGUCUACCCACGCAAGACAAGCUAUAGCCUCCUCAGUGCGUUCACGCAUGCGUGAAGGAUGAAAUAUAAAUAGGUAGCAGCGAGGGUGGCCACAGGCUCACAUGGGCAAGUGGACCAAACGAGCUUGUACGCCCACAAAGCAUUCAAAGUGUAGCAGCG